rnacentral:rRNA from 1 species
UGAGGAAUAUUGCGCAAUGGAGGAAACUCUGACGCAGCCAUGCCGCGUGCAGGAAGAAUGCCCUACGGGUUGUAAACUGCUUUUAUAUAGGAAGAAACCCCGAUACGUGUAUCGGCUUGACGGUACUAUAUGAAUAAGGACCGGCUAACUCCGUGCCAGCAGCCGCGGUAAUACGGAGGGUCCAAGCGUUAUCCGGAUUUAUUAGGUUUAAAGGGUCCGCAGGCGGGAUUUUAAGUCAGUGGUGAAAGCCUACAGCUCAACUGUAGAACUGCCAUUGAAACUGAAAUUCUUGAGUGUGGUUGAAGUGGGCGGAAUAUGUCAUGUAGCGGUGAAAUGCAUAGAUAUGACAU